UACGGGGGGGGGGCAAGCGUUUGUUCGGAAUUACUGGGCGUAAAGGGCUCGUAGGUGGCCAACUAAGUCAGACGUGAAAUCCCUCGGCUUAACCGGGGAACUGCGUCUGAUACUGGAUGGCUUGAGUUCGGGAGAGGGAUGCGGAAUUCCAGGUGUAGCGGUGAAAUGCGUAGAUAUCUGGAGGAACACCGGUGGCGAAGGCGGCAUCCUGGACCGGUAUUGACGCUGAGGCGCGAAAGCCAGGGGAGCAAAGCGGG
rnacentral:rRNA from 1 species